rnacentral:lncRNA from 1 species
CUUUUCGUAAUCCUGAUCCAUUUCCUAAUAUUAAAAAGUGGAAGGUGAAGACUUUUUUAGUUUGUAUGUUAACCACGACUCUUCAACUAUAAAUGAAGACACACAACACAAAGUUUAUAUAAUGAAAUUAAAUUAAAUGUGAUGACAUUUUGUAACAUGUCCAAUUGUCCAACUAGAGAAUAGUCAAAUUGUUAAUUUAUAGUUCUCUUUAGCUUUACACAAAAAUAAUAAAGAUCAUUUACAUACAUCAGUAUAUGUAUAUGGUCUGGAUUCAGCAGUGCAUCUAAAAUUCCGGGUCAAUGUGAUCAAUUUCCUGUAUCAUUAAAGCAAACAGUUUCUCUUAGCAACGUGCAUGGUAUAAACUCUCUUAUUUUAGCUUUCUCCAUUACUAGCCACAAUUAAAUAAAUUUAAUGCUUAAUAUUUAAAGUCAAUCAAACACCUUCCUCCUCUGUUCCUUUCUCUUCAAUUGCACAAUAUAUAUAAUGACCCUAUUUGCUCCACAUAACAUAAACCACUAACAUAAUCAUAAUCCUAGAUAUUUUACUUCCUUUCAUUGCAACCAUUUUAGAAAGUUCUUAGGCAUAUCUUAGAAUCAGAACCGCCGAUACACUUCAACCGACGGUCUAUAAACUCAUCAUCGUCAGCUAUGUCUUCCGAGUUUUCGACUACUUCAUCAGUUUGUAGUACGGACUUAUCAUGUGUGUCUUCUGAGGCUGAAGAAGAGACAAGUGCUAUGGUUCUCCUAGGUUGUCUUCAAUGUCACAUGUAUGUUUUGUUAUCCGAGGCUGAUCCCAAUCCAAAAUGCCCUAAGUGUAAGAGUACUGUCUUGCUUGAUUUCCUUAACAACAAACAAAAUACCAGAAAAACAAGCAGCUAGCAAGAUGAUGAUGCACACCAUGUAUAAAUAAUCAGAAAGAUACAAAUUAACAUGUAUUUGUGCUAUUCUAUUUCAUGUUGCUAUUUAAUUAAUUAUUAUAUAUAGAUUGUUUUAAAAAAAUUAAUUAUAUAUAGAUGGUUGAUUACAUUUUCCUCUUGAAUUUGCUUUUCGUUAGAUUUCAAUGUUUGGAAUACAAAGGUAAAGAUAACCAUUUAAAUUUCAUUUCAUUUCACCGUAAUUGCGAUUUAAUAUUAUUGCAUAGGUCUUUAUAAUAUUUAUAUUGCGACUGUAAUUGCAGCAUAAUCCGCAAUUUAGUACUAUGAGAAAUACAAAGAUUGUUUUGAAUUGGCAAAAUAAGAACAUGCAAGUCAAAUAAAAAAAAAGACGAAUUGUUCGUGAUAAUUUGAUUCUUAAAUGGAACAAUAUUUUAUAAGAAUUUACUUAACUCAACUCUGAAUUACUAGACCUCUUUCCGCUAGAACUAGAGGGUGAACCAAAAAAAAAAAAGCAAGCAAGAUAGGUAGAAAUUUAUUAGUUUCCAGCGCCUCAUUUAAUGUAUGGGUAUGUACUAUCUAUUGAUAACUACAAGAGCUUGAACUAAUAAGCACCACACCCUCAAGUUGGGAGGUAAAGGUUGACGACACCUUAAAAAUCAACUCACUUAAUCAAGAGUUUAGCAUAGCUUUGGUAAUUACAUAUGUUGUUUGCUGAAGUUUAAGAAAGGAGAAAAGAACAUGUCUUAUAAAAUCACUAUCUCUAUCAGUGUAUAAAAUCACUAGGCUCAUGAUUUUUUUAUUAUUAUUAUUAUUAUUAUUUUAUUUAUAAUGUUUUUAGGUAUACACAACAAACUAAUUUUUUUUAUAGACAAAUGUUAAUAAUUAAUUGAGGUUACUUUUUUUUGUCAAAAAACCUAAUAAUUAGAAAUUCACCUCUAAGUGAAUAAGUGGAAAAUAAAUUAUGAGUUCCAACCCGUCCCCUAAAGAGAAAUAGAAAACAUUUGUUGCUAUUCAUGUUGUUACAAUAGAAAUCAUCCCUUAGAGAGAAAUAAUAUCAUAUAGAGGUGUUACAAUUUUUAUUUUUUUUAAGAAACAAACAAUGUCAACUAACAAGAAAUAAACAAUAUUCAACACAUACAUAACAGAAAACUGACAUCGUCAAAGACAAAGUUACUAAAAAGAAAAUUGACUAUAACCCAUGAAUUUCCUCCUAUGCAACAUUUCUUUUACGUCUCUAGUUGGACGUACCAUCACCCAAGUCGUUGUGGAUAUUUCCUUAAUUCCAAAUUAUUGAAAACCACUUGCUCAUCUUGAGAUCUUAGAGUGAUUUCACAUAGCUCCAUGUUUAUUGUUGUCGUGACAGUUAUAAAAAAAAUUAGUUCCAAAAUGAAGGGGUGCUUCUACAUCUUCAUCCAUAUCAAGAAUUAGGAUGUCGCAGAAAACCAGAGAUCAACCACCUUGAUAGGAAAUAAAUAUCACAUGAAUUACAUUUUUCACCUUUUUGUAGGCCACAUUGGACUUUGGUGUCUUCAUAAAAGUUCUAGAUAUGGAUGUUAUCUUUCAUGUUCCACUGUUCCUUAUCCAUUUUGUGACCUGGAACUCCAUAUAUGAUUAAAAUACCGCACAAACUUCACGUAGAGAUCAACAUGCCUCACUCGUUUUCUUUUACUCUUUUCCCCAUUUCUCUUCACUGUAACAAUCGUGAUGGAUAUACUACAAGAGCCCCAUUUCUCUUCACUGUAACAAUCGUGAUGGAUAUACUACAAGAGACAACUUGAUUGUUCUUGUAAAAAACAUAGCACAACCAUUGAGUUGUCUGGUUAGGUGAAUUCGAGCCAGUUUCAAGGUCUUCUUUGUAUAUUUUUAGUACAGUGUUAAUUUCUUCAGUUCUAGCUAAACUCUACUAAAACAAGCCUGAUAAUGGCUCAAAGGAUUGUAAAAUCACUCAAAGGACUGUCAAAUGACUCUUAAGGUGCACUAAAGACAUAAUAUGACAUACUGCCAUCAAGUUAUAUUUCGCAACAUUUUGUAACAUGCUUUUUGUAUCUUCGCAUUUUUUUCCCAUAUAAUUUCCAUAAAAAUGAAACCCACUAAUAAAUGUGUGCAUGACUCAAGAUUCAAACUUAUUUUAUUUUGUGCAUAACUUCCAACAACACAUAACUCGACGUAUAAUCUAAAACAUUAAAUUACACAUUAUUUGUAUUUUAAUACAAAGAUAUAUUUUUUUAUAAAAUCUCCAUACAUAUGACACUCCAUUUAUUUUUCUACAACUUAAGGUAUGCUCUUGAAUAUGCAGUGAGACAAUUUUGUAUCUUUUGAGAUAAAAAUAUCCUGACAAUGCAUUCUCUAUCCAUAAUGAUUAUUUCUAUCAAAUUCACUCACUUUAAUAUUCUCCUAUAAUCAAUCCAACAACAUCAUCUUCUCAUAGACCAAUUUUGCCCCCACCGCUUUCACCUUAAUCAAAUUCUCCACUUUAAAAUCUAUAAAGCAAUCGGGUUGGUUGGGGCAUUAGAGUUUUACAUUUGAAUGAGAAUAAUAUUAUUUAUUGUCUGAAAGUUUUCUAAGUAUAUGGUGUUUUUGUGAUAUUUGGCUUUUCACAAUGCUUGAUAUUCUUUAGUCAUUUGCUUUUUUUUGUUGCUACUUCUUAAAUCAUACUUGGGUUUAAUAGUCUUUUAUACUCUCCUAUAUUAUUUCCCUUUUUCUUCUACCAAUGUUCAAACUUCUUGCAAUUUGUUUUGGUUUUAUCUAACUUUUUUUUUUGUUAAUUUUUUGCAGAUUCUUUACAUGACAUUUUUUUAUUCUUUUGAAAAAUUGUUUCAUGUCUCUUUAAUAACAUGCCCGUUUUUCUUUGUUUACAAAAUAUUUUCUAUUUUAUCUUUGGAUAUUGAAUUAAUAUGGGAUCUUUUGCUAUAUUUUUUUAGUUGGAAAAAUCUUGAUGUUGAACUUAGCUUAUUUGCCAAAGAUUUUGGUUCUCUUAUCAUGUAACCACAAGAAGUUUCAUAGAUAGAAGUACAAUUGUUGCACAAUUGUGACAUAUACUAAAAAUAUCUUAACAAUUACUUGGAAUAUACAAUUGUAGCAUAUUCUUCUUUAACUUUCUAUAUUAUAGUGAUUUUACUUUCAAUAUUAUGGUUACUACAUAAUACUUGUCUUUUUUUUUUUUUGGUAGAUACAUAAUACUUGUCUUUAUUAAAACAUGACUAUGUCUUUGAAACCAAUUAAAUAGAAAGAUUAAAUAUUUUAACCUGAUUUCUAAUUGUUUGAAUUUCAUGUGUUUUUUCACUAAUUUUCCUCAAGUACGUCUAUAUGUCUUAUUUCACAUGAUUGUGAAUAUUGUAUCAUGUAUUAUCUCUAAUUGGUUUAUCCAUGUAAGUGAUAUGUUUAUCUUGUCAUGUUGAAAGAAAGGCUAAGAGUGGAAGAUUUUAGAAGGCAAACAUAUUGAUGAUAAGCAUACUCUGAUUGUACCAAGAAGUAUCAAUGAUUGAAAGAAAAAAAAUCAUGGUUCUUACAUUAUAUAUCUAUAUGUUUGUAAAAAUGAAUUUUCAUGUAAGUUGCAAUUCUACUUAAUUUUUCUUGUUUUUGUCGAAGGAAGCAAAAAAACCUUUAAUAACAUAUAUUUUAAUACCCUUUUGAGAUAAAGUGAAAUCUUUGGUAACAUGCAAAUAUCUUUAAGACUCUUUUUGGAUUAAUGGAAAUAAGCAGAAUAUAAAUGAUCGAAAUGGAAUAUAACAUAUUUUGAUUCCAUUAUAUUGUUUGAGUAUUUUAUAAUGUAAUAGAACAAAGUUCCUACUCCAUUGUUUGGAAAAUAAAUGGAAUAAAAUGAGUUACAAUAUUUUUUUUUCCAUUUCUACCCUUAUCUAAAUAUAUCAUGUAAAACAUAUUAUUAUUAAAAUUCUUGUACGUGUGACACUCUAAUCUAAUGACAAGUGCUUAUGUUGCUCUAAACUAUACUCACAAAUACAAUCACAGGAAACACAAAUUAAUAAUCCUACAUCUAUUUGAUAAACAAAAUGAUAUUGUUCACAAAAUUAAAUGGCUCACCAUCACAUCCAGUUCAAAAUUUUAUUUCACAAUCAUAUACGCUUCAAUAUCAUUUUUCAGUAUUUAAAAUGACUGAUUGCUUUUAUAUAGUUUCUUUUAGUUCCAAACUUGCAAUGUUGUUCACAAAAUGAAAAAAAUAAACGGCUCACCAAAAAUAAAUUACUCUAUUUUUUCAAUAUUUUUUCUAUUUGAUAAACAAAACUCAUCGGUGAACAAAGCAAUGCUAUUUUUAAAAAAAUGUCACGAGUAAAUAAAAUAGGGUACAUGAAAUCCAUAAAAAAUGACAUAACGAAGAAGAAACAUGAUGAUACGCCGGCCUUGUGAAGAAAUGAUCGGUCACACCGAAGAAGAAGUGAGGAAGAAAGACGUGGGAAGUAUGAGUAUUUGAAUAGUGGAAGAACAAAAGUAAUUAAAUAAAAUAAGGGUAAAAUGAUAUUAUUGCAAACAAUGAAAUUAUUAUAUGUCAUUUUAUUCUACAACACAUCUCAAAUUCAAACAUAACUAAAAGGGCAUAUUAGAGGUAUUUGGAUUUCAAUACGGUAUCUUAUCAAGUCUUGUUGUGUUUUUUUAAUAGAUUCGUGCAUCCCACAAGACAAAACGUCUUGUUUAAAAAAAUAAAAAACGUAUCAUAAUGUUAUUUUUCAAAACCUUAAUUAAAGAACUAUCUCACAGACAUUAUAUUUAAUUCACUCUCAAUAUGAAUAAUUAUUUAAACCAUUAUUCGAAUUAAAAAAAGAGUAACAUUUUACAUGCAUUUGGCGAUCAAACUAACACAAAACAAUCCAUAAUUCUUCUGAUUUUGCUUAGUUUUAUCUAUCUCAUUAGUCAAUUUUAAUCAUCCUAUUUGAAAAGAUCAAGAAGUACUGUGGUGUUGCACUGGGGACACUUUGGCUCAACCUCUGAUGAAAGAACAUACAUGUAACAUUUUUGACAACCAACAAGCACCAUCUUCUUUGUAACUGCUUCUCCAUGCUCCUUAUUAUCUUUUUUUGUUGAAAUUUCUGGAUCAUCAACAAUACUCGAAGACACCAACUCCGGCAACUGAUCAACUGAUGAUCUAACUUCAUCGGAAGAUGGAGGCCUCAAUUGCAACUCUACACUCUUUGUAUUGCUCAUUAUGAUAGAUGUCAAGUUAUCCUUAACUUUCAAGCAAUGUAGUUCUUACUCUAAAUUGUGGAUCUAAUUAUAAGAUUUUUUUUUUCUUUCUAAAAAGAUAAAUUAAGUAAUAUUUCUUUUUUGACCAUAAUUAAGUAAUAUUUAUUAAUAUUGUAAAAACCCAUACAUGUAAUUCUUGCGUGGAUACACAUUUGAACAUAUCAUUUAGACAUAAACGAAAAAGGAAAAAGCAGUAAUAAUAAUAAUAAUAAUAAUUAAAUCAAAUGUAUUUUUAAAUAAUUAAAUAAUACACCAUUUUGACAUACACUAAAAAGGAAAAAGCAGACAAACAAUAAAUAAAUAAUAUAUUUUUUUUGAAUAAUUAAAUGAGAUGUAUAUCAUAUUAUUUAACUAUUCAAAAAAUAUAUUAUUUAAUUGACUCAAUUUAAAAAUGUUUUAAUACUCUUCUAGUCUUUACGAAAAUACUUUUUAUCCUUGUGAAUAUAUGAUUUUUUUUAUUUAUGUUUUUUGUUUUUCUAUUUUUUUAGUCCCUUUUUUAAGGAACUAUUUUUUUUAGUCCUUGUUUUGUUUUAUUUUAUUCCUAACAAAAUUUAACUAUAUUAAAAUUCGUCUGUCGAAUAUGUAGAGUAUACUACAAGUAUAAUUUUAGUCUCUAAAAUAUGAGCGGAGAAAAAAAGAUAUAAAUAA